GAUGAACGCUGGCGGCGUGCUUAACACAUGCAAGUCGAACGGAAAGGCGCUGCUCUUGCGGGGUGCUCGUGUGGCGCGGGGGUGUGAAACACGUGAGUAUCCUCCCCUUGACUGUGUGAUAACUCCAGGGAACUGGGGAUAAUACCGGAGAGGAGCUCCUGAAGCAUGGGGGGCGAUGGAAAGUGUCGGCGGUUGGGGAUAGACUCGCGGCUUACCAGCUUGUUGGGGGGGUAGUGGCUUACCAGGGCUUUGAGGGCUAGCCGGCAUGAGAGGGUGGCCAGCCACCUUAGGCCUGAGAGACGGCCCAGACGCGUACGGGAGGCAGAAGGGGGGAAUAUUGCACAAUGGGCGGCAGCCUGAGGCAAGAAGGCCGCGUGCGGGAAGACCGCUUUCGGGUGGUAAACAGCUUUCGCCGGUAAUGAAGCGUGAGUGACGGUAAUGGGUAAAAAAGCACCGGCUAACUACGUG
rnacentral:rRNA from 1 species